rnacentral:rRNA from 1 species
UACAGAGGUCCCAAGCGUUGUUCGGAUUCAUUGGGCGUAAAGGGUGCGUAGGCGGCGCCGUAAGUCAGGUGUGAAAUCUCGGGGCUUAACUCCGAAACUGCAUUUGAUACUGCGGUGCUUGAGGACUGGAGAGGAGACUGGAAUUUACGGUGUAGCGGUGAAAUGCGUAGAUAUCGUAAGGAAGACCAGUGGCGAAGGCGGGUCUCUGGACAGUUCCUGACGCUGAGGCACGAAGGUCAGGGGAGCAAACGGG